GCGUUGUUCGGAUUCAUUGGGCGUAAAGGGUGCGUAGGCGGCGUGGUAAGUCAGGUGUGAAAGCCUGGGGCUCAACCCCAGAAGCGCAUUUGAUACUACUAUGCUUUGAGGACUGGAGGGGAGAGUGGAAUUCACGGUGUAGCAGUGAAAUGCGUAGAUAUCGUGAGGAAGACCAGUGGCGAAGGCGGCUCUCUGGACAGGUCCUGACGCUGAGGCACGAAGGCUA
rnacentral:rRNA from 1 species